GGAUCAUUACUGAGUGAGGGCCCUCUGGGUCCAACCUCCCACCCGUGUUUAUUGUACCUUGUUGCUUCGGUGCGCCCGCCUCACGGCCGCCGGGGGGCUUCUGCCCCCGGGUCCGCGCGCACCGGAGACACUAUUGAACUCUGUCUGAAGAUUGCAGUCUGAGCAUAAACUAAAUAAGUUAAAACUUUCAACAACGGAUCUCUUGGUUCCGGCAUCGAUGAAGAACGCAGCGAAAUGCGAUAACUAAUGUGAAUUGCAGAAUUCAGUGAAUCAUCGAGUCUUUGAACGCACAUUGCGCCCCCUGGUAUUCCGGGGGGCAUGCCUGUCCGAGCGUCAUUGCUGCCCUCAAGCACGGCUUGUGUGUUGGGCUCCGUCCCCCCGGGGACGGGUCCGAAAGGCAGCGGCGGCACCGAGUCCGGUCCUCGAGCGUAUGGGGCUUUGUCACCCGCUCUGUAGGCCCGGCCGGCGCCAGCCGACAACCAAUCAUCCUUUUUUCAGGUUGACCUCGGAUCAGGUAGGGAUACCCGCUGAACUUAAGCAUAU
rnacentral:rRNA from 1 species